ACGUUAGCGGCGGACGGGUGAGUAACACGUGGGUAACCUACCUAUAAGACUGGGAUAACUUCGGGAAACCGGAGCUAAUACCGGAUAAUAUUUCGAACCGCAUGGUUCGAUAGUGAAAGGUGGUUUUGCUAUCACUUAUAGAUGGACCUGCGCCGUAUUAGCUAGUUGGUAAGGUAACGGCUUACCAAGGCGACGAUACGUAGCCGACCUGAGAGGGUGAUCGGCCACACUGGAACUGAGACACGGUCCAGACUCCUACGGGAGGCAGCAGCC
rnacentral:rRNA from 1 species